UACAGAGGGCGCGAGCGUUGUCCGGAAUUACUGGGCGUAAAGCGCGCGCAGGCGGUCUUCCAAGUCAGUGGUGAAAGCCCGGAGCUCAACUCCGGAACUGCCAUUGAAACUGUUAGACUUGAGGACGAGAGAGGUGAGUGGAAUUCCCAGUGUAGAGGUGAAAUUCGUAGAUAUUGGGAAGAACACCGGUGGCGAAGGCGGCUCUCUGGCUCGUAUCUGACGCUCAGGCGCGAUAGCGUGGGGAUCAAACAGG
rnacentral:rRNA from 1 species